GGCUGCGUGGACCAACGGGCAGAGUCGGCCGCCUCAAAAGCGGCAGGGUCCCGGUUCGAAUCCGGGCGCGGCCA
rnacentral:tRNA from 1 species